UACGAGGGGUGCAAGCGUUGCUCGGAAUUAUUGGGCGUAAAGGGUAGGUAGGUGGUCUGAUUUGUCUGGGGUGAAAGCCUUGAGCUUAACUCAAGAAGUGCCCCAGAAACGGUCAGACUCGAGUCCUGGAGAGGGUCGUGGAAUUCCCGGUGUAGCGGUGAAAUGCGUAGAGAUCGGGAGGAACACCAGUGGCGAAGGCGGCGACCUGGACAGGUACUGACACUAAACUACGAAAGCGUGGGGAGCAAACAGG
rnacentral:rRNA from 1 species